rnacentral:rRNA from 1 species
UACGGAGGGUGCGAGCGUUGUCCGGAAUCACUGGGCGUAAAGGGCGCGUAGGCGGCUUCUCAAGCGUGUGGUGAAAGUCCGGGGCUCAACCCCGGAUCGGCCGUGCGGACUGGGGAGCUCGAGUUCUGUAGAGGCGGGUGGAAUUCCGGGUGUAGCGGUGGAAUGCGUAGAGAUCCGGAAGAACACCGGUGGCGAAGGCGGCCCGCUGGGCAGAGACUGACGCUGAGGCGCGACAGCGUGGGGAGCGAUCCGG